UACAGAGGGUGCGAGCGUUAAUCGGAAUUACUGGGCGUAAAGCGUGCGCAGGCGGUUCUAUAAGACAGAUGUGAAAUCCCCCGGGCUUAACCUGGGAACCGCAUUUGUGACUGCAUAGCUGGAGUACGGCAGAGGGGGAUGGAAUUCCGCGUGUAGUAGUGAAAUGCGUAGAUAUGCGGAGGAACACCGAUGGCGAAGGCAGUCCCCUGGGCCUGUACUGACGCUCAUGCACGAAAGCGUGGGGAGCAAACAGG
rnacentral:rRNA from 1 species